UUGGACAUGUGCUACAGACAGAACAGAUAUUUUCACAUGCAAUUUUUCCAUGGUAAUAUGCAGACGGAACUGAGGCUGAUACACGUUGCAAAGGCAAAUGCAGUUCACACUACAGCUGACCACUGGUGAUUGAAGACUUUUGGAUAGGAGAACGUGACUGACAUCCAGCAACUGGUCAGCAUAACUGCUAUAUGAAGACCUCUGCCCUAGGAAGAAACAGGCACUACAAAUCAACUGCUGCACAGUAACGUGACUGCAAGAAGGCCAGAGGAAAAGUUAGACCUCAUGCUCUAACUUUUAUUUUCCACACCCUCCACAAUAGUAUACUUACACAACUAACUUGCCCAGCCUUAUCUGACCUUAUAUCUCUGCACAGGGGUUAGGAAAGGAGGCCAGGAAGAAGAGUUGUGAGCUAUUCCUGCCUCUCAGUUGCACUUAGCAUGUGACGGGAUCUGCCAAAUUUCACGGCUGAGCAUCUGACAGGCAGCAGAGACAGAGCUGCUACUCUGGGCUUUCUGCAUGCAGGAGCAGUUCAGUUGUACUGAACUGUCAGGCAGUGGCCAAGAAAUGCCAGUCGCAGGAUUCCUUAAAGGGCGAUGUCCCUCACGCACCCCAGGGACCGGCCGGGAAAGCUGAGGCCCGGUUCGCACCAGCGCCACCUGCUGCUCGGCGCUGUCUGAUGCAGCUCAACCAGCGAAAAUCUAAAUCCUGAAAAUUAUUUACCGUCUGGCAAACGCACCAAAAUACAGCAGUAACAUCUAACACUCUGCUUAUUUGCUAAUAUUUUCCCUUAAUGCCUCUCCAAGAAUUACUCUUUACCGUAGCUGAAGAGUAUGCUGUACUGUACUUGCACAAAUACACUUGUAUGCACACACGGAGGGAAGAAGUGUGGCUGAUGGCUUGAAGGCUAGUAACAUAAACUGGAACUAGCCAGCAUAGAAAAGAAUAUGUAUUUUCCAUUAUGUUACUCAUGCUAGUGAAAAUAGGUAAAAGGAAGCCGUUGGGUUUUUUUGUUUGUUUGUUUGUUUUUUAAAGGAAACAUCUUCCAAAGUUAAGGCAUUUUCAGCUUUGCAGAAUUACACAAAUUGUGAUGUUUUUACAUUUACAGCUCCAUUGCCAUUGAAUUUACAGCUAGUAUCCUCCUGUCUAUAAAUGCAUGGAUCCAUACCCUGGGUCUCUUUAAUACCUAUAUCGAUCAAUUUAGAUACAUUUUAUAAAAGCUGACAGUUUCUGUUAACUGAAGACUGAAUGGUAUGAUUGGAAUGCUGUGCAACUUUAAUUCAUAAUAUGAAAAGACUUGCAAUGCUAUGUGUAUUCAGACAACUAAAAGAAACUUAUUACUGCUUAUAUUGUUUGACAGUUAAAGGGAACAUGUUUAAUACUUGCAGUAUUUGCUAUUGGUCUUAAGCUGUAAAAAGUUUAAUGGAACACAUGCCAUUAUAUCUCAACCAACAAUCACAAGUUAUCAGAAGGAGGAGAAAAAUCACUUAAAAAUAUGACUUAACACAUAUCAAGCACUUAUUAGAAGGUAAAUAAAUAUAUUCCAGAGCAGAGUGAUUCAUUGAAAGAUUGCUUUUCUGUUUUGGAGAAAGACUUUAUACAAAAGAUAAAAGAAAGCAGCAAACAAGCUCUUCUGAGCCUAUACUUACAAUAUAUAUUAUAGCCUGACAUGGCUUAUACUUACUACUUGGGGCUCAGUUUUCAUAUAUAGAUCAUCAUGUUUUUGAGAACUGUUGUAAGUAGGAUAAAUGAGUCCUAAGGAAACUAAUGCAGAAUUACAGAUUUAAUUGAUCUUCCCAUAUCUAUUCCUUGUAAGAAUGUAUGUUUCAAGAUCUGCUGAAUUAAAUUAAAAAACCCAAGGCAGCAGCAAUUUCAGAAAAUUAAAACCUACUUCUGAAACAGAAAGUUGAAUUGUAGGAUCAGCUUAUUAUAUUAAUUAAGUAAAAUAUUAGUAUGUACAUAAUCUGUAUAAUAGACAACUUUUUUAUUCUUAACAAUAAGAGGAGAAAACACUGGCAUUGAGUCAAUUUUUAUUCUCCAAGGACCCACAUUUUUUAAAUUUCCAACUGAAUUAUUUUACAGUGAGAAUAAAAAACUAUUACUAGUAUGUAGGUUGUGUCAACAUGUAUUGUGCUUAAGGUUUUUCUGCUCCAUGUAAACUUGUUCUACAAGACACAUUCUAGGUGUCUUAUAUUAUGCAUGGUGGUUUAUAUUAGGCACACUUAUAUUAUGCAUUCUCUAAGUGGCAUAUAUUAUUAUUAUCUCUGCAAACUACCUGUGGGCAACACACCCUUGUUUUAGUAAUUGGUGUCUAUCACUGUCAAUGUGUAUUCCUACUGAGGAAUACAGUCUAAACAAAAACCAAGUUUUAUAGAAAUAUUUAUAUGGCAUCUCCAGUAGUCAUAUCAGCUUUAACUUGGUUUAAAAAUGUUAACAAUAUUUUAAAAAUUAUUUUAAUAUGCUAGUAACUAGUAAUAUAAGGGCUCUCAGUCACAUCUUAAUAGGUAGGGGCAGUAUUAUGUCUCAGCAGUUCUUUCACUUUUCACUACUUAGGUUUAUUUCACAGGACCAUUCUUUUUGAACAGCAUUAUUCCUAUGUGGAUCUCAUCACUGGAUAGCUCUCAAGAUCACAUUUUAAAUAUUAUCACUGCAAUACUCAGACAGUGACCGUGUCCUGCAGCGGUAUCUUUAGAGAGAGUCCAUUUUCCUUCUGUUCCCCUUUUAUUGAUUCCAGUUUACUCAGGCUCAAACUCUUCAUCUUUGUACCGGCAAAAGUACAUAUGAAGGAGUUUCAAAUACUAACCAUUUAGAUUCUUGAAUAUGUAUGCUACACACUACAUGCUCCUCUACUUUGUCCUCCACUUGGAGGUCAACCUGCUGGAGUAAUGUCACAGUUACUACAACAACUAUUACAAGCAACAAGAUAAGAAUAAAGAAGUAAAGUGGUGUGUGAUUGCUGCCAGUUGUAAGGGUCUGUAUCCGUCAUCUGUGGCACAAAUGCUCUUAUGCCCUUUGAAACAAGAACCCAGUCUCACCAGAGACUGGUGAGUAAAAGAAAGUAAUCAUAACAAAAAAACCAAACCCGCCACAUAAACCCAGUAACAGUCUUACUCACAGAAUUUGUUCCUUUAUUUCUUAGGGAAGCAGAUAAAUAGCAGUUACCUCCUUUCUUAUUCGUUUACUUAUUUCUCUCCAAGUAAACUCUAAUAAUGCAAAAAUCCAUGCAUUUCUUUUCCUCCCCUAACACAAUAAAAUGAAAACUGUCCAGAGACAUUUAAGAAUGGGUGACUGAAACGUUUCCUGUAAACUCAGACAUUGCUUUUAAGUUGAUUUUUAAUUUGUUGUUGCUGUAACUUGAUACAAAGUCUCUUUUUGGUGUAAUUAUAUCCCCUCACUUCGGGGCAAGAACAGAGAAAUAGACAAAUGUAACUAACCUCUUCCUAGUUUUCUGGAAAA